rnacentral:rRNA from 1 species
AUUGAACGCUGGCGGCAGGCCUAACACAUGCAAGUCGAGCGGAAACGAGUUAUCUGAACCUUCGGGGAACGAUAACGGCGUCGAGCGGCGGACGGGUGAGUAAUGCCUGGGAAAUUGCCCUGAUGUGGGGGAUAACCAUUGGAAACGAUGGCUAAUACCGCAUAAUAGCUUCGGCUCAAAGAGGGGGGACCUUCGGGCCUCUCGCGUCAGGAUAUGCCCAGGUGGGAUUAGCUAGUUGGUGAGGUAAGGGCUCACCAAGGCGACGAUCCCUAGCUGGUCUGAGAGGAUGAUCAGCCACACUGGAACUGAGACACGGUCCAGACUCCUACGGGAGCAGCCAGUGGGGAAUAGUUGCUACAAAAUGGGCGCAAGCCUGAUGCAGCCAUGCCGC